CCUACGGGGGGCAGCAGUGGGGAAUAUUGGACAAUGGGGGCAACCCUGAUCCAGCCAUGCCGCGUGUGUGAAGAAGGCCCUCGGGUUGUAAAGCACUUUCAGUGAGGAAGAACGCCUGGUGGUUAAUACCCAUCAGGAAAGACAUCACUCACAGAAGAAGCACCGGCUAACUCCGUGCCAGCAGCCGCGGUAAUACGGAGGGUGCGAGCGUUAAUCGGAAUUACUGGGCGUAAAGCGCGCGUAGGUGGCUUGAUAAGCCGGUUGUGAAAGCCCCGGGCUCAACCUGGGAACGGCAUCCGGAACUGUCAAGCUAGAGUGCAGGAGAGGAAGGUAGAAUUCCCGGUGUAGCGGUGAAAUGCGUAGAGAUCGGGAGGAAUACCAGUGGCGAAGGCGGACUUCUGGACUGACACUGACACUGAGGUGCGAAAGCGUGGGUAGCAAACAGGAUUAGAUACCCCUGUAGUC
rnacentral:rRNA from 1 species